CAACAUAUCACUUUAUCAAUUAUAUCUUGUAUUUGUAUCCCUCUGUAUGUGCUUUGAGCUGGAUAAGCAUCAAUGUAAGGGUGUUUUAUAAUCUUUUGCCAAUAGGAAUUAUAAUCUUGAUGCAUCAAGACAUCUAUAGGGUCCUGAUGUGCCCAGUCAGUAGGGUACUGAUUGAAACAUAGAAUCUAAAUAUUUUCUUUGCUAUCUGAACAUAGUGAAAAUGUCGAGUCAUGGGAAAGUGCUUCAUUUUCCUUUCCUUUCCUUUCUUUUCUAUUCUCACUAUCUAGAUAAGCCCAAUUGUGUAGUGGGUCUUGAAGUCCUUGUCAGAAAGGUGAAUAUUGUCAUUCCUUCUUAUGGUGGUUAAAUUAUGUACCGCCAAACCACUCCAACAUUUUGGGGGUUAUAACUUUGACUCUUUUGUGGGGUAAGAAUCGUGCGAAUUUUGACUUAUGUCAGUUAUUUUAGCAUAGUCACUUACAGUACAAAGAUAAUGAGUAAUAUUGUGCUAGGUUAUUGAGAAAAUGGUUAAUCUCCCUCCAAUCCUCCAUAUUUGAAAUAAGAACAUCGAUCAUGAUAGAUUACAAUUCAAUCUUACAUUAUACCAUGAGAAGAUUUAAUUGCUUCAAAUAUUAAAACUUUUGACUCUUUUUGUUGGAUAAGAAUUGUGUCAGGUUAUCUUUCAAAAAAACAAAAAAAGAAAAGAAAAAGGAAUCGUGUCAAGUAACAUGUUGCAAGGCAUGCGUAGCUAGCUAGGUAUUGUCCUUGAAGCAAGUAGGUUUUAAGAUUUCCCCAAGUUACCAUAUGUGAAAUAAGAACAUCAAUUAAGUUAGAUUGUUUAAGAUUAUAAAUUAUGAUUAUUUUGUGUGAAGCUCAAUACUUCUAAUAUGGAAUGGUUUUGUAUGAAGUGACAAUACUUUAUAUGCUAUAUACCUUGUUUUUACUAAGAAAUUGCCUAAGUGACUAUCUAGUGUUGCUUGGGUAUCCAUGAGGCUUGAUAUUGGCAUCAGUUAGAGGGACACAAAUAAAGUCAUUUGUUUUAAUGGUAUAUGAAAAUGAUUGAUGGGAAAAUGAUUACUUUCUCCACGAACUACCAUAUUUAAAAUAAGAACAAUUGUGAUAGAUUUUUUAAGAUUAUAAAUUAUGAUGGAAUGUUUUGUAUGAAGUUUAAUACUUUUUUUUUAUUGAACUUUCAUGCCUUUGCAUAUCCCCCUUUGAUAAUAAACAACCUAGGAAAACUGACUAGGUAAGCAUUUCCUUGAAGUUUGCCUUAAUCUCAAUUUUGAUAAGGUGGGGGUACUAUUUGUUUCUUUCUCUUUCUGUUGUUUUGUUUUGUUCAACCCAUGAUAAUGUUCCACUUAAGUUUAAGUUGAGGUGCAAAUUUUUCAUAUUUCAUAUUUUAUCUUAUUGCAUACUCCUUGAUUGUAUUUGGUGUAGUACACUUGCCUCUGAACGACAUUGGGGAAAGCUUACAAACUCUUCAGGUACAAGAUCAAACCAAUUUUAUUAUGUAGUAAUUCAUUUCACAGCCAAAAUUGUUGUUUAUCAUGCCACUUUGAUAUUACUUUUUAACUAUUGAUGGAUGGAUGAGUGGGAUGCAAGUACUCUUUUACAUCUCAAGGUGAGGAAAGCAUCAACACUUAGGUACUUACCAAAUUAUAGAAAUAAUUUGUUCCAGUAGUAAAAUAGUUCUGAAUGAUGUUUAGUUACUUUUUUGUAUUGUUAUUGUCUUUAUUCAAAUUAAUUCUUUUGCAGAUUGUAUACCACGAUUUCAUAAAACAUUGGUGAAAUUUUGAUGAGUUUAGACUCAUAAUUAUUUCAUUAUAUGCAUUAUGUAAUCAUAUCUUUUUUUGUGAAUGUGCUCAAACAUAAAAGGAUAGAAACAAUAUAGGACCAAAUUACCAAAAACCAAUAGAGCUAGUAAUAGCUACAUGAGACUGGACCCACUACUAUUCCUUGAUAGAAUUUUAUGAUAAUAAUAUUUCUUUUGUGUGCUAGCCCUAGCGAAAUCACUUGUAAUUAGAAUUUACUAAGCAGUGCACAUGGUAGAAUUUUGGAAAGUUCCAACGUUGCUGGACUUGUUCUUCACUGGAAUCCAACGAGCGUCUAGUGAGUUGACUAGGUAAGUCAAUAAGUUAAAAGGAAAACUACUCAAUUCUAGGCGUAUGAUCGGAAUAACAUUACAUUAAACACUCACUUGGAUUGUUGAUGCUAGCUAAUCGACUCCGCGCUAAGACCCGACCCGGUUCAAGAGGAAGAUUAGCGAGUUGACUCGAGUCAACUCAGUUGAUCCUGUUUCUUCUCCUCUUUUCUUUCCUCUUUCUUCUCACUCUCUCCUUUCUACAUGGUUAAGACUCAGUAAACAAAUUUUCUCUAACUAUCUCUCACUCGUUCUCUUUCUCUUUCAUUCUGUUUUCUCUCUCUAUUUGAUGUGGAUGGUUUUAUAUCACAAGAAUGAUUAUAUAUGUUCAAGGCUUUUGAAAGGGUCCUUGUGUAUGGAAGAAUGUCGAGUCAACGUGGUGAGUUGUUUACGCAUGUAUGUCACCUAGUGAAGGUUUGUGACAAGAUUUCUUUUACGCGAAGGAAUCUUGGAGUGGUUGGGUGGUUGAAUGACGGUUAAGAG